CUUUUCGACAUUCCACGUGCAUUGUAUUAGACAAUGUUUCGUUCAGUACCGGUUUAUACAAUUUUAAAGAGGUUUCCCUUGAAUUUUACAAGAUUCUAAAAGUAUCGUGGUAUAUUCUUUGAGUGAACGAUAUCAGAUGCAAGUCAGCAGGGGGAACAUUUAUAAACUUACUGAUUUAAUUGCGUAGACAUGGUGUAUUUUGCUACGAAAUAUGCGAAACACUAUCCUUCCCCUCGCGAAGCUUUGUUUCCGGCUCCUACAGAUGUUAAAUCUGAGGAAAUUUUUGGGCCGCCAUCUUGUUUUUUCUACUGGCAGGAAAUCGAAGCUAUUAGCAUAUACUCCGACUCUGGUGGCUCUGGUCAGUCACGCAAGAUUGCAGACGAGCAAAUUUUGGGCCUGCGUGGCAGGCCCUCAAUUUUAUGGGGUUGGAAUAAAAGAAGCUGCGGUUUAAUUAAGCCGUUUUGCCAAACUGACAUGAAGGACCAUGAAGAACUGUUUUGUUUACAACUAUUGCUGAUGAAAUACAAAAAUAUUUUCGUUUUUUUCAGUCAUUUUCGUUUUGUGAUGGUAGUGCUUUGUAAUGGUAUAUUCACUCGACGCUUCGCGUCACUAUUCCCCACUUCGGUGAAUAAUUGUUAAUUAUCCUGCUAGCAGACCCAAUCAAAUUGCGGAAUAGCUUAUUUAAAUAUAUAAUAAUAUUUAAUUAUAUAAUUUAUUCAAAACACGCGCGAGACAUCAUGCAUUCAUGCGUGAAGUGUUGCAAAACUUACAACACAUUGAAGUCACAGCAGAAAUAUCAUGUACGAAAUACAAACACAGGCCUGUGUUUGGAUAACUUUAAAAGACUCAGCUCGUCUCGCUGCCAAGUUAUGGAUACCCGUGACAAAAACUGGACAAGAAAAUGAGAAAUUCCCAGCAAUUUUAGGUAAGAUAGUCAAGAUAAUCCACAUGCGUAAAAUUGAUCCACAAGACCACAACUGUAUAAUCAACGACUUUAAUACUUGAUUUAAUAUUAAAUGCGACAGUUUGACAGGAAAAUGUGUUAAAAAUAAACACGAGGGUCUUUGAAAACUGGGGCUUCAAAAUGUUGUAUUAAGACUGUUGUACGUUAUUAUGCAUGAGGCGGGGGGGGGGGGAUUGUUGGUGAUGGGGGGAGGAGGGAUAUUUUCGUUUUUUUCAGUCAUUUUCGUUUUGUGAUGGUAGUGCUUUGUAAUGGUAUAUUCACUCGACGCUUUGCGUCACUAUUCCCCACUUCGGUGAAUAAUUGUUAAUUAUCCUGCUAGCAGAGCCAAUCAAAUUGCGGAAUAGCUUAUUUAAAUAUAUAAUAAUAUUUAAUUAUAUAAUUUAUUCAAAACACGCGCGAGACAUCAAGCAUUCAUGCGUGAAGUGUUGCAAAACUUACAACACAUUGAAGUCACAGCAGAAAUAUCAUGUACGAAAUACAAACACAGGCCUGUGUUUGGAUAACUUUAAAAGACUCAGCUCGUCUCGCUGCCAAGUUAUGGAUACCCGUGACAAAAACUGGACAAGAAAAUGAGAAAUUCCCAGCAAUUUUAGGUAAGAUAGUCAAGAUAAUCCACAUGCGUAAAAUUGAUCCACAAGACCACAACUGUAUAAUCAACGACUUUAAUACUUGAUUUAAUAUUAAAUGCGACAGUUUGACAGGAAAAUGUGUUAAAAAUAAACACGAGGGUCUUUGAAAACUGGGGCUUCAAAAUGUUGUAUUAAGACUGUUGUACGUUAUUAUGCAUGAGGC